UAAAGAAUUUCGGUAUGGGAUGGGGAUGCGUUCCAUUAGUUAGUUGGCGGGGUAACGGCCCACCAAGACAACGAUGGAUAGGGGUUCUGAGAGGAAGGUCCCCCACAUUGGAACUGAGACACGGUCCAAACUCCUACGGGAGGCAGCAGUGAGGAAUAUUGGUCAAUGGACGAGAGUCUGAACCAGCCAAGUAGCGUGAAGGAUGACUGCCCUAUGGGUUGUAAACUUCUUUUAUAUGGGAAUAAAAUGUCCCACGUGUGGGAUUUUGUAUGUACCAUAUGAAUAAGGAUCGGCUAACUCCGUGCCAGCAGCCGCGGUAAUACGGAGGAUCCGAGCGUUAUCCGGAUUUAUUGGGUUUAAAGGGAGCGUAGGUGGAUUGUUAAGUCAGUUGUGAAAGUUUGCGGCUCAACCGUAAAAUUGCAGUUGAAACUGGCAGUCUUGAGUACAGUAGAGGUGGGCGGAAUUCGUGGUGUAGCGGUGAAAUGCUUAGAUAUCACGAAGAACUCCGAUUGCGAAGGCAGCUCACUGGACUGCAACUGACACUGAGGCUCGAAAGUGUGGGUAUCAAACAGGAUUAGAUACCCUGGUAGUCCACACAGUAAACGAUGAAUACUCGCUGUUUGCGAUAUACUGCAA
rnacentral:rRNA from 1 species